GAAAUACAAUAAAAUUAAAGCUUCUAACUUUAAAAUUAAGCGAUCAUACGUUUAUAUUUCU
rnacentral:tRNA from 1 species